CCCCCUCCCCCACAACGCCUGCACCGGGCCCGGCGAGCCCUAAAUCAGUCGCCUCCAAAGCGCCCACAAACUACAAACGCAAAGUCCGCUGCAAAGUGUCUGCAGGAGGACUUAGCUUUUCUCCUCCAGCACCUAAGCCCCCUGCUGGUGUGGAGGUCGCGCAAUCCUUUGUCCUGCAAACCGAGUGCUCACCCGGUUUGAACCCUUCCCUCCCUGGAUUCCUGCCCUACGCCCCCCCCAACUCGUGCUUUUCUGGGAGCACCGAAGAGUGUGGUCCUGGGGUCACGACCCGCAGGACUUCUAGGUCCUGGCGGGGCCGGCAAGCGGCCGCUGGAGCGGUGGCAGCCCGUUUGGCACCACGAGAAACCCGUCCUGUCCGGCACCCUGAGACCCGGGUGGCUCCGGGGAGACCCUCCUGCCUCUGCCUCCUCCCCGCUGACACCCCUAAAAGUCGUCCCCGCUCGGGGUGCCGGGAAGGAGGCGGGUUCUGCCCAGAAAACACUCUGCCGCGUCCCGUGACCAGCUCUGGCCCCACUUGAAGGAUCACGAGACAGACAGACGUGGACGCUUCCCUGCGGGGAACUUCAUCCCGAACCGCUGCGGGGCGGGCUCACGCGGCCUGGAAUCUGCCGACCUCUGAAAAGUUGGAAAAGCAUUUUUCGUCCUGAUUUAGAGCACAUUGCUACGUUUUGGAAAAUGCCAAAUUAAAAACAUCAGGUCUCAAAGGUCUGUCCAGGGCGGGUGUCUUUCCUCUGGCAGCCUCGGGCUGGAGCUCACACAUGCAGGCGGGACCGAGCAUGAGCGGGGACCCGGCUUCCAAAGCACCCCGCAAAAACAUGCAGGGCGGGCUUGUCCUCACAGGACCUGACGGAUCUCUACGCCGGUCAGAAAGGCCUGGAGCUCUCCGGCCCGUCAGAGUCACUCGGAGUGUGAAUCACAUUUUGUCACGACAGUGUUGGGGGCUUCUUCUGUAGAUCAGAAUUACUGGGUUCUAGUUUAUUUUUCUGCCCACAUAAUGAGAGGGGAAGGGGAGGAGGCACUCCGGGGAGAGGGGGACAGAAGAGGGACUUCCCCUGGGACGGGCUGCUUCCUGUUUAAACACCGCUGGACACAGCCGGGCGUGCAGCUGAGCGCCUGCGAUCCAGCCCUCGGGAGGCUGAGGCCGGAGGACCUCUGUGAGCCCGCCAAGAGUCCAAAGUGAGCUCAAGGCAGCCUGGACUGCAUUCAGGACUCUGCCUCUAAAACACAAUCGAUCAGUUAGUCAAUCAACAAUCAGGAAAUGCCCCUGCUGCCAGAAGGUGCUGACCACGAGGCUUGCAGAGCGCAGGGAACCAGGUGGGCAGAGGAUUUCACAGAUGGGGCGCCC
rnacentral:lncRNA from 1 species